GCCAUGCAUUACUGCCAAAACAAAGCCACCGUGCCAGUGCUGCAGCGCUUCUUCCAGGGAGAGGACACCCGCCCUGAUUUCAGGCUUAGCCGGGAGGCUAUCUAGGUCCUCCAAACGGAGCGACAGCACGGUUGGGGGCCCACCAUGGAGAACCUGGUCUUUUUGUUUUGGAUAGCCCCUGGCGCAGCCUAUCGGAUUCUGUCCAGAGCUUUUGGCAUACCAAUGUCAUCUGUCCAUCGAAUGGUGCACAGAAUUGCGGAGGAGGUUGUAGCUGUCCGGGGCAGUUUCAUCAAGCUGCCAUCAAAUUAUGAGGAGGUCAAGGCCAUGGGGGAAGGGUACCCUGCUUUCGCUAAAGCAGCUGGGGCCAGGGGCGUUUCUAGGUUUCUGAAACAUCCGGGGCUUAGCCCAAGAGGGAAUAGGACAGUGCGCGUGCGGCAAAUUUUGUUGUAUACUUUAUUGCGCAUGCAUUUUUUUUCAUAAUGCUUUACCUAAAUAAACAAAAUAGGCAGGUAAUUAUAGCUUUGAAUAGCUACCUGACUGCUGCUUAUCCCCAGACAUCUAAAGUUCCAUCAAGUUAUUUCAGAGUCAAAUUAAUACAAGUGAGACAGACCUUACAUUACCUAUAUCAGGUGUGUCAAACUCAUUUUCACAAAGGGCCACUCUAUGAUGAAAUGAUAAUCAUACUAAGGGCCGACAUGGAGUUUGCUGACAUGCUUUCUUUUUAUUUAGCCCCGAAUAAAACAGCCUAGUGACGCCACUAGCUGGGGCCAUCGACGGGUCCCACAUCCAAAUUAAAUGUCCUUGCGGCCCUGAUGGUCAAGACUUCGUGAACAGGAAGCUGUAUCCAUCCAUGGUGCUGCAGGCAGUCUGUAACCAUCAGGGUCGCUUCAUUGACACCUUCGUGGGCUUCCCAGGAAGCGUGCAUGAAGCACGCAUCCUGCGAAAUAGUUCAAUUUACCUGGCUGGCAAUUACCCUCCACCAGGCCAUUUCAUCUUGGGUGAUGGUGGUUAUCCAUGCCUUACACAGCCGAUAGCCCUUAUCACACCAUAUAAGCGGCCACUCAGAGGCAUGGCAGAGCAACGGUUUAACACUCAUCACUCUCGGGACCGCUCAAUUGUUGAGCGUGCCUUUGGGAUGAUGAAAACCCGCUUCAGGUGCAUCUUUUUAGAGGCACUUAAAGUACAUAGUGAGUUUGUUCCAAAGGUGGUGACUGCGUAUGCAGUUGGUGUGGGCGAUGACCUCCCAGUGGAGGAUGGGGCCAUGGAGGGAGAUGACCCUCCUGCUGAAGGAGAAUGUGGCACGGAGUCACAGAGUGGAGCUCCUUGGCGUGCGGCCCUGGCCAAUUAUGCAGGGGAAAAAAGACAAAGAAAGUGUUGAUAAACAUGUAUUUAUUUGUAUAGAUAAUAUCUGAUCUCAUACAUACAUCCAUUACAUCCAUACCAUCCUUCAUUCAUUCACCCCUCUCAACCAAACGCUCAAGGAGAGAAGAAACGGUCAAACCGCUCCCUUGACUCCACCUCUCUCCUCUCAUCCGCCUGCCGCUGAUAUAGAAUAUCCUCCGUCACCAGAAGCAGGAAGGGAUCCUCCCUCCCUCAUCUCCCUGCUCCGGCCCCUGCUGCGCCCACUGCAACUGCCCCCGAUGUGAUGACUCGUAGCAAAAUGCGUUGUCCCAAUUUUUGAUACAUUAUUAUUUCAACUAUAGGUUAUAUUUACAGAAGAAAAUUGUAAUAAAAUGGCGGGCGAAGAGGAAGAACUGUGCGAGCAAAUACGAUUAUAUAAGCAUUUAUAUGAUACUUCUUCACUAUUACAUUCCAACAAGAUUGCUUUGGAGAAUGCAUGGAGGGAGGUUGCAAGUGCAAUGGGAAAAUCUGUUGUGAAAGUGAAAACGGACUGGAAAGCUGUCCGGGACAAAUACGGAAGAGCGCAUAAAAAGUGGGAGGUAGCGUGCAGUAGUGGUGCAGGGCAAAUAACGUUCGGCUAUCCAAAAGUCGUGACCCAACUUAGCUGGUUGAGCGAGUUCAUCAGGCACAUGUUAACAGAGUCUAAUUUUCCGGUAUGUAGGCAUAAUCAACGUGUGUGUGUGUGUGGAGAGAAAGAGAGAGACUAUGUUUUCAAUGUAUUUUGAAAUGGUAGGCUAUUCACUUGGUCAGGAUGUUUGAAAACAGGUGUCUUUCUGUAGGCAGGCGAGGGAGACGAUGAUGAGGAGGAGGAGGAAAGGCCUAAUUUGCAGGUUUAUCAGGCAGAUCAGGCACCUCCAUCAACCCUCAACCCCGCCUCAUCCCUAUCCCAAUUUCAACUUCUAUCUAACCUUCUAACCUAUUCCUCUUCCACAUCUCACCCUCCCACCACUCUGAUGACUUCUACCUCUUCCCUUCUUCCACCCCACCCUCCCAACGCGACACGAGUGGCUUCUGCUACCUCUUCCCCACUAUCUGACCCUACCACCACUCUGAUGGCUUCUACCUCUACCUCUUCCCUUCUUCCACCCCACCCUCCCACCACCCCGACUGCAGUGGCUUCGACAGUUUCUCAGUCAGUUACCCCACCAUCUCAUCCCCCUACCCCGACAUCAUCAGCCUCCUGUGGAGGUAAAAGAAAGAGAAAAAGCGUCUGGCCGAAUAUGGAUCCAUGCGAGACUGCCCUCCUCGAUAGGCUGCAGGAAAUUCGGCAGGAAAGAGAGGAGAUGGAGAAGGCGAGAGAAAGGGUGGAAGAGAGGGAGAGAGAGAAUGAGAGAGAGAGGGAGAGAGAGAGGAUGAGGGAACGUGAUAAGAAUGACAUUCACGUCUCUUACUAAUUACCUGUGCCAAUUAAUGCAAACCCUUCCACAAGGGCAAAGUGCUAUUUGAUGCGCGACAAACAGCUGAGGCAUGAUUAUGAGCCAUUUUAAUGAUCUUCUUGUCACCCGAUAUUCGUUCUAUUACUGGCCUUAUUUGUUUUAGUGUUUGAAUUAAUUACGUAAUGUUUUGUGUUCAUGUUCUGUGUGAAACAUAAGUGUUCAUGUUCUGUGUGAAACAUAAGUUCAGUAGCCUCUUUGAGUGAAUGAAAUUUGAAAGCAUGAGUGAAUGAAAAACGUGUGCGUGUAUGGUGGGUCAAGUUUCUGUAUUUGAUAAAUAUACCCCUUUUCUCUAAUGUUUCCUACCAUAUAAUUUCUGUGGACAUUAUGCGCUAUAGCUUUGGCUAUAGGCCUACACUUAAAUAAUUAAUUCAUCUGUCAAGGCAGUAGCUCGUUGUAUAAAAAUUUUAUAUGGAUAUGAAUUAAUGAGUUUGACGUAAACCAAAUUAGUUAACUUGUGUAAUGUGAUAACUAAUAAAUCAAAAGUCAUGCUUCCAAGUGACCAAUGUAUAUACAUUUAUUGGUCAGUGCGCAUACCCAAUCGUAGCACAUUGUACUGGGGGGGAAACACGGCAGCAUCUGACAAAAAAUAAUCUGCCAGCAGCUCCCUGACAGGAACCGCUCUCUGAGAUGGUCUGGCUCUGCCGACCGAACACCGUGGUCCGUCGACCAUAUUCCGGUCCCCCUCAACAUGCUGCCUCCACUCUCCAGGCUGGACCUCUCCGGUGUCAGCGGUCGUAUCCACAAAGGAGGCGGGCAUGUAUCUGGCUCGUUCGGUGGAUGCCAGGAAGUUGUGUAGAGCCAGGCACGCCUUCACAAUCUUCACCGCCUUUUCAGGUUGGCAGUCAAUUGGACGGCCAAAAAUUCCGAAGCGCGCAGCCAAUAUGCCAAAGGCAUUCUCCACUACGCGUCUCGCCCUGGCCUGUCGGUAGUUGAAGAUGCGCUUCCUAUCCUGCAGGUUAGUACCUAAUGAGAAGACAAAUAAGUGUCAUGCAGGAACACGGAACAGAUGACUUGGCUGGCUCCAACUUUACACGGCUUUUGAAUAGUAAUGGUAAACUGUGCCAUUGCGCGCACUGCGUGCCUGCCUGGGUAGGCUAUGCAUUUUUUUUCGUUAGACAAAUUCAUGUAUAAUUAAUUAAUGUAAUUAAAACAAUAAAUAUGUAAAUCUAUAAACGAGCUAACACACCAGAAGCCAGCCAUACAAGAGCUGUGAGCGAAUCUUUCUCUGGACAUGCAGAUUGCUUUAAAGUAGCCUGGGGUGUUUUAUCCAAGAGACCUGCGUUUAUUUCCAUCAGCUACCAAUUUGUUUUUAAUUACCUGCACAGGUUGCAUCAGAUUAUCCUGUGGAAAGGAACCUGGCCUACGAUUAUAUGUUGUCGGGGUGCGAAUUAUAGGCUCACGGCAACUGAGUAGCCUACAGUGCCAUAAGGUUAGAUAUAUUGCACAGCAGGUAAACAGUGCCAUUGCUUGUGCCCGGGCAUGCAUUUUUUUUAGUUUUUGUUUUUUCGUUAGACCGAUGUAUGAUCAUCCUUGACAAUAUUAUAUAUAAUAUAUAAUAAUCAGUAAACGAGAUACAACUAAGCCAGCCAAGACCCGUGCGCGCUUUCUUUGUCAUUGCUUCUGGGCCUUAUUCAAAGGCUUACUGUGUUUAUUUCCAACAGCUAUCAAAUAUUUGUAUUCUCACCUGGAUAGGGACGCAUCAGGUUCACCUGUAGGGGAAAGGCCUCAUCCCCCAGGAAAAAAAAAAGGACUGGGCGUUGUGGUGCCUGGUAGGACAGCAGGGGCGGGUAGAUUGAGGUCGCCCUCUGCCAGUCUGGAUCCAAAGGCACUGCGACCCAAGACACCUCCAUCGCUCUCACGCCCGUAUGCGCCAACAUCUACAUAAAUAAACCUAUAGUUGGCAUCAGCAGCAGCCAUAAGGGCAAUUGAAAAAAAAAAACUUUGUAAUUAUGGAAGUCACUUCCCGAUCGUACUGGAGCUCUGACUCUGACAUGCUUC
ensembl:lncRNA